AUGCCAUAUGAGGGUCGUCUGAAGCCGUCCGCGGACUUUUUUUCUUCUGAAGAGACCGCAACCUGGGUAUGCUGGGAGGUGACGGCAUGGGCUAGACCUGGGUCAUGCGGCUAUGGCCAUAGUUCUGGGAGAUGGCGACGACGCCCAUUGGUAUUGUUCCCCUUCUUGGAGGCGUUGCUGAGGUGCGUCGGCAUCUCAUCCUUAAAAUUGUGCUUGGUUGUUGACUUUGGGCAAAAUUCUAGGCCCGGUUCUGAAUCGGUGAUAGCAGUGUUCUUGAUGCCGUCCCUCUAUAGGGAGCAUCUUGUACGGAGACACGGCUUGGAGGUCAUGUGUUGCGUUCCUUCGAUGUUCGUUCUAUCCCAGAUUGAUCUUCAGGGGGCGGUAUCUCCCCCGCCUGUGAAAAUCCCUACGCUCGAUUACUUCAAACCCCCGACUAGGUUUCACACCGCCGAGGUCUUCGCCGUCCGUGAUUCAAGCGAGGCCGCGCUCUCUGCUGCCAGAUUUCUCCUAGGGGUUUCAUCCUCUCUUGAUGGUGAACCGCUGAGACGCUGCUCCGGCUUCUUGGUUGAUUGGGAUGAGGAGAAGAAAGCCGGCCUUGUUUUGACAACUGCGCGUCUGAUUCGCACAAAGGAUUCUCCUGACAGCGGCUGGUCAGGUGGCGAAGAGUAUGCUCCUCGUGCUGAUGUCACUGUUCAUUUGCUAAAUGGCACCAGUGCAAAGGGCGAUCUGGUCUACUAUCAGCCCCAUUACGAUAUCGCUUUCUUGAUUGUUGAGGUGGAUCAACCAAUCAAGUUAUCAUCUUUUCGUGAAGAAGAUGUAAAAUUUGCUCAAGAUGUUUUUCGGCUCGGAAGAGACGAUUCCUUAAAUCUAAGGAUAACAUAUGCUAGGGCAGAAUAUAAGAAUCCAAACAUGUAUCGGCGGUACCACAAUGUGUAUUUCCGUUCUCCAGACGAGCAUGGUGAUGAUAAUGAGUAUGACAAUGGGACCCUAGUCAUUGACUUGAAUGAAAACGUUGUCGGAAUGGUCAACGUCCCUAAGAGAUUUGGGUCUUUUAUACCUUCUUCCAUUUUGCUCAACUGUUUGGAUUCAUGGAAGAAAUAUCGGAUAUCGGUAACUGGUAGCAUACGGUUGGGUGUUGAGUUAGGGAUUAAUUGGCUUAUCAGCCUAUUAACUGAAUUCAUUGGAGAGCGACACUGCAGCAGCAGAACAGCAGCAGUAUUACAUCAGAGAGGAGAGCAGUUUACCUUGCAGCCUGGUGAAGCCAUGGAUAGAGGACAGGAGGAGCAUAUGGCGAAGCAGCUGGAGGAGUGGAGGUGCAUCGCCCGGCCCCAUCUUGGGAUGAUGUUUCAAGCCAUCAAGCUUCUAGAACCUGCUCAUGUUGACAUGUUAUGGCGUAUGUAUAACAUUGAUCAUGGUCUUAUUGUUCAAGAGUUGGAAAAUAUGUUGAUGAUCACAUGCAAGGGCCCUUCAGGUGCUGAAGUUCAUAUAUCUGUGGUGCACAGCAAAUCCAGUCCUCGUUCUCAUCAAGUUCUCGUUCCCGUCCUCUUCCUUCUGUUCGACGAGCCCGGCGAGAGGAACCAACACCGUCGGCGGCGGCGGCGUCAUCCUCCACCUCGUCCCAUUCACUAUAAACGACGUGCUCGACUUCAGGAAAGAAGAUUAAGGCGCGACAUCUGCGGCGGCAGUGUCGGCGGCGGCACUAUAGGAACUCGCCCCCGCCGAUCACAUCACUUCCGGGCUUGCAUCCUAAGAUGGAUCUAUACUCUGCGGUUGGCCCCUCGGUUAGGCCGCCGGGAGAUAUCAAUGCUUGUUCUGAAAAAUCCUCCUCCGAUCUAUUCGUCGCCGCUCCUGACCUUCUCCGUCCUCGACCUGCCCGGCGAGAGGAAUAAAUUCAUCGUCCUCGUCCUCCACCCAACCAACCCCAGCCCCCCACGCCGUCACCGAAGAAGAAGAAGGCCGGAUCUGCGCCGGCUGAAUCGGUGGCGACCGCGGCGGGCGAUCCCAUCUCUUCGCGCGUACCAUCCUUAA
rnacentral:rRNA from 1 species